CCUACGGGUGGCAGCAGUGGGGAAUAUUGCACAAUGGGGGAAACCCUGAUGCAGCGACGCCGCGUGAGGGAAGACGUACUUAGUUACGUUAAGCUUCUUCAGCAGGGAAGAAAAUGGCGGUACCUGUGUUAGUAGCCCCGGCUAAAUACGUGCCAGCAGCCGCGGGAAUCCGUAGGGGACCAGCGUUAUCCGGAUUUACUGGGUGUAAAGGGAGCGUAGGCGGUUCGCCAAGUCUGGAGUGAAAUGCCGCAGCUUAACUGCGGAACUGCUUUGGAAACUGGCGAACUAGAGUGCGGGAGGGGUAAGCGGAAUGCCUGGUGUAGCGGUGAAAUGCGUAGAUAUGAGGAAGAACGCCGAUGGCGAAGGCGGCUUACUGGACCGUAACUGACGUUGAGGCUCGAAAGCGUGGGGAGCAAACAGGAUUAGAUACCCCGGUAGUC
rnacentral:rRNA from 1 species